GGCCGCUUGGUGUAGUGGUUAUCACGUUUCCUUUACAAGCUCUUUGACGAACGGAAAAGGUCGCCUGUUCGAUCCAGGCAGUGGUCA